rnacentral:rRNA from 1 species
UACGGAGGAUGCGAGCGUUAUCCGGAUUUAUUGGGUUUAAAGGGCGCUCAGGCGGCUUGCUAAGCGGGAGGUGAGAUGCCGGCGCUCAACGUCGGAAGUGCCUCCCGAACUGGUGGGCUGGAAUGACUCUGCCGUGGGAGGAAUGUGUAGUGUAGCGGUGAAAUGCUUAGAGAUUACACAGAACACCGAUUGCGAAGGCAUCUCACGGAGGGUUGAUUGACGCUGAGGCACGAAAGCGUGGGGAUCAAAC